AAAAGAACUCUGAAUAGAGAGUUAAAUAGUACGUGAAACUGCUUAGAGGUUAAACCCGAUGAACCUGAAUAUCCAAUAUAAAGAAUUCAUCAUUAAUAUAUUAAUUAUUAUUAAUAUAAUGGUGUGCAUUUUCUUUAUAUAAUGGACAUUGUAAUCUAUUAAUAUAAUAUAUAUUUAUCAUAAGAUUAUAAGCAUAUGUUUAUUUUAAUUAAUUUGUUUCGGCUUAUUAUAUUUAAAAUAAUUGCUUUUAAUUUGAUAAAGUAUUGAUAGAUUAAAUCAUAUGUAUAAUGCUUAAAUUCAUUUAUGAAUUUUAUAAUAUAGUAAUAUAUUAUAAGCAUUUAUACGAUUUACAAUGCGAAAGAUUCAGGAUACCUUCGGGAC
rnacentral:rRNA from 1 species